CAAUAGCGUAUACUAAUGUUGUUGCAGUUAAAAAGCUCGUAGUUGAACUUCUGGUAGGAGUGUCCCGGCCUUUUUGUUUUUACAAAUUGUAUGCUGUGUGACAUCUCUGGCCAUCCUUCUUCUUUGUUUAAAGAAGAUCUUUCACUGUAAAAAAAUUAGGGUGUUCAAAGCAAAAGUUUCUUUGGAAUAUAUUAGUAUGGGAUGAUAAGAUAGGCUCUAGAUGCUAUCUUGUUGGUUUGCACAUUUAGAGAAUGAUUAACAGGGACAGUUGGGGGUAUUCGUAUUUACAUGUCAGAGGUGAAAUUCUUGGAUUUUGGAAAGACGAACUACUGCGAAAGCAUUUACCAAGGAUGUUUUCAUUAA
rnacentral:rRNA from 1 species